AUGUCAGGCAGAACACGUAAUCUAAAGCGGCUACACAAGAAAAUACAAAAAAUGACAGUUUAGCAACUGAACGAGAAGAUUUCUUAUUGAACAAUGAGCGUAAAGCUGCAUUGUAUGAUUGCAUGAUUAAACGGAAACCGGCUGAUACAAAAAAAUAGUCCUCACGUAUUAAUCAGGACUACCUACCAGCAGCGUAACUAGGACUUUUUCACGGGAAGGGAUAUAAGGAUUUUAAUAGAUAUAUUCAGUAUACACAAAUAUGUAUUCAUAUUAUUAUAUACAUGUUGUAUUGUGUACAAAUGUGGGAGGGGGAAUUUCAUUGGUAAGUUCCUUAAGAACUGCUAACUGUUAUUAGCUUCUAGCACUAUUAUUAAUUUUGAUUAAUACAAUACUUAUAAUGAAAUAAUUUGUAUGCCUAAUUUAUUUGCAUUUCAAGAUUACAUAAGCAUAUGCAGUGUUGGGGAAGUUACUUAUUUUGGUAACUUGAAACUUAAGUUAAGUUACUCCCCAACACUGAGCAUAUGUCUAUGCUAAUGAUAAAAUCUGAUCUCAGUAAACGUCUUAAGAUGGAUAUACCCAUUAAAGCAAUAUGGAGUUAUCUUCAUACUCAUUGGAAUAUGAAUGGAAUUGAUGAAAUAGAAUAAAACCAAGGUGGGAAAAUUGAAAAAAAAAGAUUUUGAACUACCUCAAACUGAAGAGUGGAUACGUUUAAUUAAAGAACAAGGAGCCUUAAUAAAUUUCAAUAAUACAAAUACAGAUGCUAUGAAGCAAACAAGUCAAGCUGCGAUCAGUAAUGUGGAUUGAAAAACAUUAAAAUCUGUUAAGAUAAUGGUGGAAAAAUUAGACUAUAAUAGUAUGUAUGACAUGUAUGUUGAUAAAUUGCUUAAAAUAAAAUAAAAUAUAAAUAUAAAAUUGGCUCAAUGGUUUUCAUACUGAGUAGGUACCUACUUCCUCAAAUGCAAAUCCACAUUCUAAUACAAUAAUUCAUGUAGUUACUGAUAAUAGUUUGCAUGGAAACAAUAUUAAAGAUAAUUCCUCAGUUCUCUGACCUCUACUUAUUCAAUAAAGAAAUCUAAAUGUAGAUUUUCAAGUUCAAAUAAACUUUAAUUAAAAAUUAAAAAUUAAAGUUUGAUACAUUGGUCCAGCAGAUGUAAAUUGGCCCGAGCUACAUAUUUUUCCUAGAACACAUUCACUAAAUUAUAAUUUGGAUACUGAGUAAAUAAUGUCAGUUCAAUUAAUAUUGUUAUUAAAAACUGGCCAAGUGCGAGUCGGACUCGCGCACA